CGGGCUGUGACCAGAACCUGCGGCACAGAGGCCAGGAAGCCUGUAUUCGAGUGCGAGCCCGUGAUUGACUCCCUCUCUCUCUGAUCUUGCCGAUGAAGCGCUGAGGAAGACUGAAAUCAUCGAGUAUCAGAUCCCAAGGAGGCAUACCAUUUAAAACGGUGAUAAGGAAGAAUUUCAUGAGCCAGAUAGUGGUGAAACUGUGGAUUUCAUUGCCACAGGCAGUUGUGGAAGCCAGAUCAUUGGUUGAGAUACAGCAUGGAAUAGACCCUUUCGGCCUUUCAAGCCACAGUGCCCAGCAAUUGCCGGAUUUCAUCUAGGCCUAAUCACAGGACAAUUUACAAUUACC